rnacentral:siRNA from 1 species
UGACGACGAGAGGCUCCAUCUA